rnacentral:rRNA from 1 species
UACGUAGGGUGCGAGCGUUAAUCGGAAUUACUGGGCGUAAAGCGCGCGCAGGUGGUCUUUCAAGUCAGUGGUGAAAGCCCGGAGCUCAACUCCGGAAAUGCCAUUGAAACUGUAAGACUUGAGGAUGAGAGAGGUGAGUGGGAUUCCCAGUGUAGAGGUGAAAUUCGUAGAUAUUGGGAAGAACACCGGUGGCGAAGGCGGCUCACUGGCUCAUAUCUGACGCUCAGGCGCGACAGCGUGGGGAUCAAACAGG